AAUCCGGUUGAUCCUGCCGGACCUGACUGCUAUCGGAUUGAUACUAAGCCAUGCGAGUCAUUGUAGCAAUACAAGGCAUACGGCUCAGUAACGCGUAGUCAACCUGCCCUAUGGACGGGAAUAACCUCGGGAAACUGAGAAUAAUGCCCGAUAGAACAUUAUAUCUGGAAUGGUUUAUGUUCCAAAUGAUUUAUCGCCGUAGGAUGGGACUGCGGCCUAUCAGUUUGUUGGUGAGGUAAUGGCCCACCAAGACUAUUACAGGUACGGGCUCUGAGAGGAGUAGCCCGGAGAUGGGUACUGAGACACGGA
rnacentral:rRNA from 1 species